rnacentral:rRNA from 1 species
GACGAACGCUGGCGGCAUGCUUAACACAUGCAAGUCGAACGGUAAGGCCCUUCGGGGUACACGAGUGGCGAACGGGUGAGUAACACGUGGGUGUUCCGCCCUGCACUUCGGGAUAAGCCUGGGAAACUGGGUCUAAUACCGGAUAGGACCACUGCCUGCAUGGGUGGUGGUGGAAAGCUUUUGCGGUGUGGGAUGGGCCCGCGGCCUAUCAGCUUGUUGGUGGGGUGAUGGCCUACCAAGGCGACGACGGGGAGCCGGCCUGAGAGGGUGACCGGCCACACUGGGACUGAGAUACGGCCCAGACUCCUACGGGAGGCAGCAGUGGGGAAUAUUGCACAAUGGGCGCAAGCCUGAUGCAGCGACGCCGCGUGAGGGAUGACGGCCUUCGGGUUGUAAACCUCUUUCAGCACCGACGAAGCGCAAGUGACGGUAGGUGCAGAAGAAGGACCGGCCAACUACGUGCCAGCCGCCGCUGUAA